rnacentral:sRNA from 1 species
GUUGGAGAGACUAUGGCGCUCAACAAGAAUCACUCGGAGGGCGGCGGAGUGAUCGUCAAUAACACCGAGAGCAUCCUAAUGUCCUAUGAUCACGUGGAACUCACAUUCAAUGACAUGAAGAACGUGCCAGAAGCCUUCAAAGGGACCAAGAAAGGCACUGUCUACCUUACCCCUUACCGGGUCAUCUUUCUGUCCAAGGGCAAGGAUGCCAUGCAGUCCUUCAUGAUGCCAUUUUAUCUCAUGAAAGACUGUGAGAUCAAGCAGCCCGUAUUUGGUGCAAACUACAUCAAGGGAACAGUGAAGGCGGAAGCGGGAGGUCGGCUGUUGCUGAGUGGGCUUGUUCCUGUGAAGCUGCCGAGUGCUUGACUGGGGGCGGAGAGAAACCUUGAUGUGGCCUUGGCACCCGUGUACAUAUUGGGCCAAGGGUGGGAGGACAGGCUUGUUCCAGGAAGGAGAGGCCAUUGUUCCAAAGGGGGAAGCGAGUACAGCAGGGCCAGGCCAGGCUGCAGUGCUGGCUCCUAUGCAGGCAGCAGGCUGGAAACCAUGGCACCAGGAAGUCCCCAUCACAGUGCA